rnacentral:rRNA from 1 species
UAAAGUCUGGCCUGCCCACUGACAAGAAGUUAAAGAGCCGCGGUAUUUUGACCGUGCAAAGGUAGCAUAAUCAUUAGUUUCUUAAUUAGAAACUCGUAUGAAUGGUUGAACAAAAGAAAAGCUGUCUCUGAUGUAGAAAUAGAAUUUAACUUUUAAGUGAAAAGGCUUAAAUCAUUCAAGG